AUUGAACGCUGGCGGCAGGCCUAACACAUGCAAGUCGAACGAGUGGCGGACGGGUGAGUAAUGUCUGGGAAACUGCCUGGUGGAGGGGGAUAACUACUGGAAACGGUAGCCAAUAACGCACACCAUAGGAUGUGCCCAGAUGGGAUUAGCUAGUAGGUGGGGUAAAGUCUCACCUAGGCGACGAUCCCUACCUUGUCUGAGAGGAUGACCAGCCACACUGGAACUGAGACACGGUCCAGACUCCUACGGGAGGCAGCAGUGGGGAAUAUUGGACAAUGGGCGCAAGCCUGAUGCAGCCAUGCCGCGUGUAUGAAGAAGGCCUUCGGUUUGUAAAGUACUUUCAUCGGGGAGGCGUUACCCGCAGAAUAAGCACCGGCUAACUCCGUGCCAGCAGCCGCGGUAAUUC
rnacentral:rRNA from 1 species